CCUACGGGUGGCAGCAGUGGGGAAUAUUGCGCAAUGGGCGAAAGCCUGACGCAGCGACGCCGCGUGAGGGAUGAAGGUCUUCGGAUCGUAAACCUCUGUCAGCAGGGAAGAACGGUCACUGUGCUAAUCAGCAGUGAAUUGACGGUACCUGCAAAGGAAGCACCGGCUAACUCCGUGCCAGCAGCCGCGGUAAUACGGAGGGUGCGAGCGUUAAUCGGAAUUACUGGGCGUAAAGCGCUCGUAGGCGGUAUGUCAAGGCAAGGGUGAAAUCUCCGCGCUCAACGUCGGAACUGCCUUUGAAACUGGCAAACUGGGGUGUGUGAGAGGAUAGUGGAAUUCCAGGUGUAGGAGUGAAAUCCGUGGAUAUAUGGAGGAACAUCAGUGGCGAGGGCGACUAUCUGGCACAUAACUGACGCUGAGGAGCGAAAGCGUGGGUAGCAAACAGGAUUAGAUACCCCGUAGUC
rnacentral:rRNA from 1 species